AACUCGUCAACAUUGAUGGAAAGCCAUGAUUGCCACAAGAUGUACUCGGAGGCCUGAUUUCUUGAGUUCUAAUACCAUUGGUAAAGAAGGAGUCAACACUGUCCAUUCUGGCACCAUAUGUGGAAUCUCUUCCAUUUGUACAGCUCUAGCAAUCCCUCUGACCCCUGCUCACCAACUACAGUCCUUGAUGUGUGGACCCCAGCCCAGCUGUGACCUGUAGGACAGACUGCCUACACUCCAGUCCCUUACACUGAGAACCAAGAUACUCCCAGCCUAUCUUCACAUAACCUUCAAAUAACAGCUUGAUUGAAUUUAAGUUCGUAUUUAUAGGACCGUCAAUUCAUAUGAAGUUGCCCAGUGAAACCUUAAAAGCGAGGCUGGCAGCACAAGACUUCACCAACAGACACCGGAGCGACCAGCUACAAUGACCCAAAUGAACAAAAGUCUUUGCAACUGAGCUGAUGAAGAGAAAUCAUUCCCAGAGAGAG